GAGAGAGAGAGAGAGAGAGUUUGUGUCUGUAUCUGUGUCUGUGUGCACCGUUUUGAUUGUGAUAGAGGAUGCCUCCGACGAAAAUUCAGCCGAUCGAUUCUCUGUUAGACAGAGAAUCGAUCCAAAGCGACACCACUAAGCCUGUGCUGAAAUCGCGAAUCAAAAGGUUUUUUGACCGGCCGUUCCCCAGCGUCUUACGGAUUUCGUCGGGGACAGAGAAGCCGAAUGCUGCCGGCGCCAGUAAUGAAUUGGCAAAUGGAAAAGAUGGAGCAGUUCCUGAAUUCGAGCCUAGCUCUCUUUGUUUGGCUAAGAUGGUUCAGAAUUUCAUUGAGGAGAACAAUGAAAAGCCUUCACCUGCUAAAUGUGGCCGGAAUCGUUGCAAUUGCUUCAACGGAACCAACAAUGAUAGCUCCGAUGACGAGUUUGAUUUUGCUGAUUCAGCACACUCCUCCUUCAACGAUUCUUCUGAUGCUCUCAAGAGCUUAAUUCCGUGUGCAACUGUUGUCGAGAGAAAUCUAUUAGCUGAUAUCUCACAAAUCGUUGAGAAAAACAAAGCUUGCAAGAGUAAGAAUGAUUUGAGAAAAAUCGUCACCGAUGAACUCUUGAAACUUGGCUACAAUGCAUCCAUUUGCAAAUCCAAAUGGGAAAAGGCUCCUUCUGUUCCUGCAGGUGAAUAUGAGUACAUUGAUGUGAUUGAGAAAGGAGAAAGAGUGUUAAUUGAUGUAGAUUUCCGAUCGGAGUUUGAAGUUGCCCGAUCAACUAGCAGUUACAAGGCGGUUCUUCAAUUGCUACCUUUCAUCUUCGUCGGAAAUUCCGACCGCCUUCUGCAAAUCGUGUCCAUUGCCUCAGAAGCCGCUCGACAGAGUUUGAAGAAGAAAGGCAUG
rnacentral:misc_RNA from 1 species